rnacentral:rRNA from 1 species
ACCAGACUCCUACGGGAGGCAGCAGUGGGGGAUAUUGCACAAUGGGGGGAACCCUGAUGCAGCGACGCCGCGUGGGUGAAGAAGCGCCUCGGCGCGUAAAGCCCUGUCAGCAGGGAAGAAAAUGACGGUACCUGAAGAAGAAGCCCCGGCUAACUACGUGCCAGCAGCCGCGGUAAUACGUAGGGGGCAAGCGUUAUCCGGAUUUACUGGGUGUAAAGGGGGCGCAGACGGCGAUGCAGGCCAGGAGUGAAAGCCCGGGGCCCAACCCCGGGACUGCUCUUGGAACUGCGUGGCUGGAGUGCAGGAGGGGCAGGCGGAAUUCCUGGUGUAGCGGUGAAAUGCGUAGAUAUCAGGAGGAACACCGGUGGCGAAGGCGGCCUGCUGGACUGCAACUGACGUUGAGGCCCGAAAGCGUGGGGAGCAAACAGGAUUAGAUACCCCAGUACC